rnacentral:rRNA from 1 species
GAUGUAGCUUGCUACAUAUCCUAGCGGCGGACGGGUGAGUAAUGCUUAGGAAUCUGCCUAUUAGUGGGGGACAACAUUCCGAAAGGAAUGCUAAUACCGCAUACGCCCUACGGGGGAAAGCAGGGGAUCUUCGGACCUUGCGCUAAUAGAUGAGCCUAAGUCGGAUUAGCUAGUUGGUGGGGUAAAGGCCUACCAAGGCGACGAUCUGUAGCGGGUCUGAGAGGAUGAUCCGCCACACUGGGACUGAGACACGGCCCAGACUCCUACGGGAGGCAGCAGUGGGGAAUAUUGGACAAUGGGCGCAAGCCUGAUCCAGCCAUGCCGCGUGUGUGAAGAAGGCCUUUUGGUUGUAAAGCACUUUAAGCGAGGAGGAGGCUCCUUUAGUUAAUACCUAAAGUGAGUGGACGUUACUCGCAGAAUAAGCACCGGCUAACUCUGUGCCAGCAGCCGCGGUAAUACAGAGGGUGCGAGCGUUAAUCGGAUUUACUGGGCGUAAAGCGUGCGUAGGCGGCUUUUUAAGUCGGAUGUGAAAUCCCUGAGCUUAACUUAGGAAUUGCAUUCGAUACUGGAAAGCUAGAGUAUGGGAGAGGAUGGUAGAAUUCCAGGUGUAGCGGUGAAAUGCGUAGAGAUCUGGAGGAAUACCGAUGGCGAAGGCAGCCAUCUGGCCUAAUACUGACGCUGAGGUACGAAAGCAUGGGGAGCAAACAGGAUUAGAUACCCUGGUAGUCCAUGCCGUAAACGAUGUCUACUAGCCGUUGGGGCCUUUGAGGCUUUAGUGGCGCAGCU